CCAACCACCAGGGCAGUGUUUCUCAAGUUCCAUGGAUUGACUGGAAUCAGCUGAGCAGUUCUCACUUGGGGCCUCUUAAGGAGCUGGCGUCAUCUGAAGGCUUCACAUCCUAGAUGGCUUCUUUCUUCACAUGGCUGCUAUCCAGCUAAAUGCCUUCCCCUGGGGAAAUCCAACUCAUCCUUUUGUCUGGGAGGAAAAGCUGCUGGAAUAAAAGCAGGCAGAAGAACAUGGAAGGACUAGACUUGCUGAGUCUCCUGGCCUUCAUCUUUUUCCUGUGCUGGAUGCUUUCUGCCCUUGAACACCAAACUCCAAGUUCUGUAGCAUUUGGACUCUUGGACCUACACCAGUGGUUUGCCAGGGGCUCUCAGGCCUUCAGUCACUGACUGAAGGCUACACUGUAGGCUUCCCUACUUUUGAGGUUUGGGGACUCAGACUGGCUUCCUUGCUCCUCAGCUUGAAGAUGGCCUAUUGUGGGACUUCACCUUGUGAUCGUGUGAGUCAAUACUCCUUAAUAAACUCCCUUUCAUGUAUACAUCUAUCUUAUUAGUUCUGUCCCUCCAGAGA
rnacentral:lncRNA from 10 species